GAUAACCUGCCCAAGGGUCCGGGAUAACCCCGGGAAACUGGGGAUAAUACCGGAUGGAUCACUUCUGCUGGAAUGCUUGGUGGUCGAAAGGUAACGCCCUUGGAUGGGUCUGCGGCGGAUUAGGUUGACGCCGGUGUAACGUACCGGCGUGCCUGUAAUCCGUACGGGUUGUGGGAGCAAGAGCCCGGAGAUGGAUUCUGAGACACGAAUCCAGGCCCUACGGGGCGCAGCAGGCGCGAAAACUCUACAAUGCAGGCAACUGCGAUAGGGGAACAUCGAGUGGCUGUCAUAUUGAUAGUCUGUCCACCCGCCUAAAAAGCGGGUGUUAGCAAGGGCCGGGCAAGACCGGUGCCAGCCGCCGCGGUAAUACCGGCGGCUCGAGUGGUGGCCGAUAUUAUUGAGUCUAAAGGGUCCGUAGCCGGCUUUGCAAGUCUCUCGGGAAAUCCAGCGGCUUAACCGUUGGUCGUCCGGGGGGUACUACAUUGCUUGGGACUGGGAGAGGUAGGAGGUACUCAGGGGGUAGGAGUGAAAUCCUGUAAUCCUUUGGGGACCACCGGUGGCGAAGGCGUCCUACCAGAACAGGUCCGACGGUGAGGGACGAAAGCUAGGGGCACGAACCGGAUUAGAUACCCGGGUAGUCCUAGCCGUAAACGAUGCUCGCUAGGUGUCACAACAGUCGUGAACUGUUGUGGUGCCGUAGGGAAGCCGUGAAGCGAGCCACUUGGGAAGUACGACCGCAAGGUUGAAACUUAAGAU
rnacentral:rRNA from 1 species